AAUCAACGCUGGCGGCGUGCCUAACACAUGCAAGUCGAACGCGAAAGCCCCGCAAGGGCGAAGUAGAGUGGCAAACGGGUAGAGUAACGCGUGGGUGACCUACCUUGGAGUGGGGAGUAACUUCCGAAGGACGCUAAUACCGCAUGACAUCCUGCCUUUGAACAGGCGGAGAUCAAAGCCUGGGACCGCAAGGCCAGGCGCUUGAAGAGGGGCCCGCGUCCGAUUAGCUAGNGGUCGAGGUAACGGCUCACCAAGGCGACGAUCGGUAGCCGG
rnacentral:rRNA from 1 species